rnacentral:rRNA from 1 species
GACGAACGCUGGCGGCGUGCCUAAUACAUGCGAGUAGAACGCUGAAGACUUUAGCUUGCUAAAGUUGGAAGAGUUGCGAACGGGUGAGUAACGCGUAGGUAACCUGCCUACUAGCGGGGGAUAACUAUUGGAAACGAUAGCUAAUACCGCAUAACAGCAUUUAACCCAUGUUAGAUGCUUGAAAGGAGCAAUUGCUUCACUAGUAGAUGGACCUGCGUUGUAUUAGCUAGUUGGUGAGGUAACGGCUCACCAAGGCGACGAUACAUAGCCGACCUGAGAGGGUGAGCGGCCACACUGGGACUGAGACACGGCCCAGACGCCUACGGGAGGCAGCAGUAGGGAAUCUUCGGCAAUGGGGGCAACCCUGACCGAGCAACGCCGCGUGAGUGAAGAAGGUUUUCGGAUCGUAAAGCUCUGUUGUAAGAGAAGAACGUGUGUGAGAGUGGAAAGUUCACACAGUGACGGUAACUUACCAGAAAGGGACGGCUAACUACGUGCCAGCCGCCGCGGUAA